CACAGAAACUGGGAGGACUAAGGUUUUCUGAGAUAUGAUCAAAAGGAAGGGAUCAUUUUCCAAUUUUGAUUGUGAGGAGACUGGUGAAAACCAGUUCCAGGGUAGUGUGCCUUUGUGACAUAACUGACAACAUUUCACUCCAGAGACAAAAGCCUGGGGACAGAAGAAGAGAAAGGAGAGAAGGGCUGGAGGAAAUGUCUGAAUCACAGUCUUCAAUGUGGAAACAUGGGAAGCCUAAGUCACCUUUACCAAGGAAUCCCUUCUGUGGAAAGUCUGGAAACUUUACAGUGUUAUUUGCUAUACUGGCUGAGGUAUUUUUGUUCCAUUAAAAACAGAUGCUCUUCCUGA